GCCUAUAUCAAAACUGAAAAGUGAAAACCAGCAGAGAUUGUGAUCCGGUGCGCCGUUUAGGCAGGCACUAAAAAGAGGCGAAAGUCGAAGCCACUAGCAUUUAGUAGCCAUUGAGUAGCCACUGAGUUGGAAAUGGAGCUUCCUGUAAUUGAUCUGGCACCCUAUCUGGAAAUCUGUAGCGAUGAGUUGGAUUCCCAUAUUAAGAGUAUGUGCUUGGAGGUGAGUCGAACCCUAAGAGAAACUGGAGCUUUAUUGGUGAAGGAUCCGAGGUGUACCGCUGAAGAUAAUGAUAAGUUCAUUGAUAUGAUGGAAAAGUACUUCCAACAGCCUGAAGAAUUUAAGCGCCUUCAGGAGCGCCCUCAUCUACAUUAUCAGGUCGGGGUGACACCUGAAGGAGUUGAAGUCCCACGUAGCCUGGUUGAUGAGGAAAUGAAAGAGAAGCUUAAAGCAAUGCCUAAAGAAAAUCAACCAUCUAGUCCAUCUGGACCAGACCCUAAAUGGAGAUACAUGUGGAGAGUUGGUCCCCGUCCAAAGAUUACCAGUUUUAAGGAACUGAAUUCAGAGCCAGUAAUACCUGAGGGCUUUCCUGAAUGGAAAUGUACUAUGGACUCAUGGGGAUAUAAGAUGAUAUCUGCUGUAGAGUCUGUUGCAGAAAUGGCUGCGAUUGGUUUUGGUCUCUCAAAGGAUGCAUUUACUUCCUUAAUGCAGCAGGGACCACAUCUGCUUGCUCCAACGGGAAGUGACCUGAGGCGUUAUGGAAAAGAGGGAACAGUAUUUGCAGGAUACCACUAUGACCUGAACUUCCUUACUAUUCAUGGGAGAAGUCGAUUUCCUGGACUAAGUAUUUGGCUUAGAAAUGGGCAGAAAAUGGAAGUGAAGGUUCCUGUUGGGUGCCUCCUUAUUCAGGCAGGAAAGCAGAUAGAAUGGUUGACCGCUGGAGAAUGCAUGGCUGGCAUGCAUGAAGUUGUUGUAACUAAUAGAACCACUGAUGCGAUUAAACGAGCUCUGGAGCAAAACUGCUGUCUGUGGAGAGUAUCCUCAACGCUAUUUGCGCACAUAGCAUCAGAUGCAGUGCUAAAACCUUUAGGGCAUUUUUCAGAAAGUUCUCUUGCAAGCAAGUAUCCUCCCAUUUGUGCCGGUGAAUAUGUUGAACAAGAGCUUGCUGUCAUAAAUCUUAAAGGUAAUAAAGGAGCUUAAUAAUCCAUAUUUAAGAUAGUCCGGUAAUCUGGUGUUGCUAUUCUUGUCAAUUCCGGGCCAGUAAACAGUCACAAGAACCUUUGUAUAGGAGUAAAGUAUAACUAUAUCAUCAAUUCUCUAUUUCUAACUUGUUCAACACUAAGGUGAUUGGAUAAUGACUGCAAGAUGGACUUGAUUUGUUCUAUCAUUUGAUUGGCUAAGAGAUUAAAUGCAAGUUUAGUAGCAUUGGCUUUGCUUGAUGUAUUGACGGUUUGCAUUUAUUCAAUUGAGUAGUCAGUUU
rnacentral:misc_RNA from 1 species